UAUCAGAAACAUGCAAAGCCUCAAGCAAGGGAGAAGCAGCCGCUAGGAUCUAGAAACUGGAGCCGGCAGGUCUAAGCAGGGUGGUUCGAUGGGGCAACUCAGCAGACAAGCGAUGGGAGGAGGCAACUGAAACAAUCCAGGGGCAGAGGGUGAAGAGUCUGCCAGAGGCAAACCUUGCUCACUUCGCAGUUUCACUGAGGGUUACUCCUGGCUCCCAAACGGCACAACAGUGACAGAACCCGGCAGAAGACGCUGGACUUGGAGGUGAAACUUUAAGGGGAAUUCUUCAAAACAAGGAGGAAAGGAUGAUAACUGACACCUCCGGGCUAUCUACCCAGAAGGGUCCUGUCCUUUUAGAGGUAACCUGGACACUCCCAUCCUCCGGACAGUCCACACCCCCCUCCAGGGCCUAAGCCUGAUGCUCCCGAUGGUUGUUAAAGCAUCAUCUGUUUGAGGGUCUCACUAGGGACUGAAGUUUUUGGUCCCAGGUCUCUCCACUUAGCAGUGAGGAAAUCAUUAUGUCUUGGGAAUAACUCCUGAUCUGCCGACAAAAUUUAAUGCCGCCGAUGCCGGAUAGUGAAAUCAAUGCUGUUGGAACUAAAGAGCGAGGACUGUGCAGACAGCCGGGCCAUUAGCAGAUGUACAGUCCAUGUACAGUCCGCCAUCCCGUCUUCUACUGAGGCAUGGCGCCACCCUCCAGCCCCUCCAAGCAGCCUUGUGAAGAAUCAUGCAAGGCGGGUGUUUUCCUGUAUAAUCCUUCAUUCCUGACAAUUACCGUCUUCCACCUUGGUUCAGAAGUGCAUCUUUCCAGGUCAUCCUUGUUACCUUGGGUGAUAAUAAGGACCGAUUUGUAUACUGAACUAUCAAGCACGACAUCAUUCUUGUGCCAGACAAUAUUCAGGAUGUUUAGAUGCGCUUACUCAUUUACUGUUCAGCUCAUGGGUAUGAGGAACAAGACUUUUCUUCCCAUGUUUUUGGAUGAAGAGAUUGAGGCACCGAGAGGGGAAGCCAUUUGCCUAAGGACCUGCCAUUGGCUUAAGGGGCACAGCCUGGGACUACAGCCCAGAGUGUCUGUGCCAAGCACCGUGUUCUCGAGCACCAAGUCCUGGAGCCCAAGGGAGCUGAUGCACUGUCACUUCCUGCCAUUGUGUCCUGCGUUACCUAAAGUAAUUGGCCAAGCCUGCCCCCUCUUGCUGUUCUUGCCCCACGGUAUUCCCGCAGCAUACCGCACACCCAGCUCUACAGCCAUCUUGUAGUCCAGUUACACCUGCUUAGAAAAUGUCAGGGAUCCUCCACGGCCUAACGGCUGUUCAUGAGCUCAUCUCAAUCUACCCAGCUCACAUACUUCUCUCCACUUCCCUCCACAAAUCCUGCACACCCUCCUCCUGACACACUCACCUGGGUAGCUGGCUCCAUUCUUUAGCAUACUCCAGUAUCAGUUUACAUGUCUAGGGGCUCAAAAACAUUCACAUUUUAACCCCAAUGCCACCCUCUCCACAAAGGCUUCUCCAAACUCACCACCAGAAGCCAAUGCUCUCUUCUGAAACCCCCCAGGGUUUUCCCCACAUCUUCCUUAUUGCACAUUGUCACUUUCUAUCUUACAUUAGAGUGAUUUAUACCUGUCUCUGCCCUAUUGAGAAGUCCCUGUGACACGCUCUAUGUCAAGUUCACCUUCACGAGUAUCUAAUAAAAUUCCUUGCCAGGCA